GGGAGGAUGGCCGAGUGGUUAAGGCGCUGUGUUUAGGUCAUCCUGUCGAGAGAUCUUUACCUGUUCCGCAGUGGGAAACCUCGUGGGUUCGAAUCCCACUCCUCUCA
rnacentral:tRNA from 1 species